ACAAUAUGUUAAUCAGAAUUUGUUUAUUUCAAAAUGAGAAAAAUAUUUAUCACAGCCAAUCUGACAUUAGCUCAUUAUUUUGAAUUAACUUCCGUUGUCCUUAAAUCUGGCUUCAGAUUAUUUAACGAAUAACACGUAAAUUAUAUAGGAACGCUUGUGAUUCAAACAUGAUGAAAUAUUUCAUACUUAUUUAGCGAAGAACUUGUGCCAGAUUGAUUGCCGCGAAAUGACUGUUGGCCCGUAUAUUGUAAAACUAAAUAAAAAGAAUAUGUUGAAAUGCGCACCGACAAUGAUGUUUUCUUCGUCCAAGCCAGAAUUCAAUUUGACAAUUAGAGCAACGCGAAACGGCAUGAUCUGGUACCCAGAGAAUACUUGAAGCCUUUUUCUCUUGAAUUGAGGAUGUGGCAUAUGACGAUGGACCACUACGUUCUUCUACGGCUUCCCAAGAACACGUCGAUGCAUUUUCAACAAUAUCAGAUCCGUUUUCCUGAAGAAAUGUAAAUAAUUAGACCAACAAUCGCUGGAUGAAGGCGCAUGCCCUGGUUAAAUUUAUAUUUAACCUAUAUUUAAAUAUAUAAUAUUCGAAAUUA